UACGUAGGGUGCUAGCGUUGUUCGGAAUCAUUGGGCGUAAAGCGCGUGUAGGUGGUUAAUAAAGUUGGAUGUGAAAUCCCCGGGCUCAACCUGGGAACUGCAUUUGUGACUGCAUCGCUGGAGUGCGGCAGAGGGGGAUGGAAUUCCGCGUGUAGCAGUGAAAUGCGUAGAUAUGCGGAGGAACACCGAUGGCGAAGGCAAUCCCCUGGGCCUGCACUGACGCUCAUGCACGAAAGCGUGGGGAGCAAACAGG
rnacentral:rRNA from 1 species